rnacentral:rRNA from 1 species
AUUGAACGCUGGCGGCAGGCCUAACACAUGCAAGUCGAACGGUAACAGGAAGAAGCUUGCUUCUUUGCUGACGAGUGGCGGACGGGUGAGUAAUGUCUGGGAAACUGCCUGAUGGAGGGGGAUAACUACUGGAAACGGUAGCUAAUACCGCAUAACGUCGCAAGACCAAAAAGGGGGACCUUCGGGCCUCUUGCCAUCGGAUGUGCCCAGAUGGGAUUAGCUAGUAGGUGGGGUAACGGCCCACCUAGGCGACGAUCCCUAGCUGGUCUGAGAGGAUGACCAGCCACACUGGAACUGAGACACGGUCCAGACUCCUACGGGAGGCAGCAGUGGGGAAUAUUGCACAAUGGGCGCAAGCCUGAUGCAGCCAUGCCGCGUGUAUGAAGAAGGCCUUCGGGUUGUAAAGUACUUUCAGCGGGGAGGAAGGGAGUAAAGUUAAUACCUUUGCUCAUUGACGUUACCCGCAGAAGAAGCACCGGCUAACUCCGUG